CGCCCGUUCGCGCUGCCAGCAGCUUCCGCCUGCUACGGUCCUGGCAAGCACCUCGGGAUCCCAUUCCUUCACAGGGACCCUAGCCAGUUAAAGCUGAUACAUUCCUGUGGGUCAACUAUGCAACUAACUCAGAUUUUGAGCAAACAAAGCUCUCAAGUUGGUGAUCCUCAGGAGUCUCUGCAUUAGUUGGACAGCUCUUCUGGAAUUAUCUUCUAAGUCAACUGUGGGUUGGGUAGGUGGCUCUGCUGAUUUUUCGCUGGACUUCCACAUUUGGGACGAGUUGGCUGUCAUCAGCUCUAGAAAGGGUGUGGCCGUUUUACAUUGGCUGUUUUCCUCACAUUCCUCAAGCAGGUACUGUAAUAAAGAACUGGAGAAAUACAGUCAGAUGGGAAGUAGCCCUUGCUGUCAAGGAGCUUGCCAUCUAAUGGGGGAGACAGGCAAGUAAACCAAAGACUACACAGUGCAGUAUGGUAAGUGCCAUGAUUUUGAUGUGACAGGGCACAGUGGACGACCUUCCAAAUCAAAGCAAGUAACUAGGGGUUGACAAUGGUAAGUAUCAUAGUUGAAGUAUCCUUGAACAAGGUUUCAGGAAGAAGAAGAAGGGAAUUUCAUGCAGGGAAACAGCCAAAGCUCAGUGAGUCAAAAUAUCACAGCAUUCUUGGUAAGCCCAAUUGUUUUUUCUGUUUUGCUAUUUUGGUGGAGAGAAAGGAACACAUAAAGGAAUAACAUGAGAGAAGGCUAUUUGGGGAAGUGUAGUAGUUAAGGUUCUGGCUCAAACAACAACUGCAGCUCAUAAAGUUGACUUUAGUGGAAGGAUACUGGGGUAUCUCAUGGAAUCUUGGGAACUGUUGAAUAACCAGGGAAACUCUGGGAAACUCACUGGUAGGAAUCCAUAAACUGUCCUCCUGGUGGGCUGUAAACAACUCACCCUCUAUGCAUCUCACAUCAAAAUUCCAGUUUCUUGGGAAAACAAGUCUGUUUGCCCAAUUUGGGUCAUAUUUCCACGUCCAUGUUACUCAGGCAUGAUUCAUCUGCAAGUUAUGUGUAUAGAUAUUUUGCUACUGUUCCACCCUUACGCUGUGCUGGGGAGGGAGGUGUCACUGUGAGCUGUGUCGGUGCCUUAAGAGAUAUCUGUUGUGUCUUAUUACUUGGUUGCUUUUCCCCACAUGUACAAUGACAAAAAUGCCUUCAACCUAUUUGAUCCAGCCGUUCCAGUACAACUCCUAUACUUGCCAUCUUUCCAAGCCCAAAGGUACAUCCAGCUGAUGGAAGGAGCAUCUUGGUGUUAAUAUUCUUUUAGUCAUGGUCUCUGAAAGUAAAAUGUCUAUUCUUCUAAUUCUGGCACAAUCUUAUCUAGCUAUAGUUCCUCAUGGUCCUGCACUCCAUGGACUAAAUUGUAAGUAUAAUUACUACCAAUGUACUCUAUAAAUAACUUUUGGGGCCAGGGUGGCAAUAGUUGCUAGAGAGAAAAAAAAAAAAAAGGAAGGAGAAGAAAACAGUGAUAGUUCUUAUUUUAAAAGGAAAAAAAGAGGCAGGAGGCUCUCUUGAGGCCAGGAGUUUAAGACCAGCCUAGGCAGCAUUUCAAGACCCUGUCUCUACUAAAAAGUAAAAAAAAAAUUUAGUCAGGCAUGGUGGCAUGCACCUGUAGUCGUAGCUACUCAGGAGACUGAGGUGGGAGGAUUGAUUGAGCUCAGGAGUUUGAGGCUGCAGUGAGCAAUCAUCAUGCCAUUGCACUCCAGCCUGGGCAUCAGAGCAAGACCUUGUCUUUUAGGAAAAAAAGGCAGGGAAGAGGAAUAGGUAAUUUUUCAGUGUUCAGACAUUCCAGCAAUAUGUGUGGAGUACUCAUUCUCACUACAGUUUAUGAGGCCAUAGCUAGUAUGUAUGACUACCCAUCCAAGUUUCCCUGCUUACAGUUACUAUUCCAACUGAUUGGGGGGCUUUUCCUAAUAGAGUGAUUUAAGCCUUCAUUUUUAGACAUCUAAGCCCUUGGUGAUCAUCAGCAUAAAAUGUGACAAAUUAAACAAAAGCAAGACAGCACAUCAGAGAACAACUCUGAGGUGGAAUGAUUGGGAACCAAUGAAUAGUUGUUCAGUAAAUGGUUUAUAUUUUACAGAUGAUGAAACUGAAACACAAAAAAUUUAGAUUAACUCUUAGGUGACAAAGCCAGGAUUGAAGCUCAUGCGGUCUGGCUCCAGAACAACUCUUCUUCAUAGUUACGUUAUACUGCCCCUGCAUUGUUGGUAUUGAAAGCUGGAGUGCAGUGACACGAUCUCAGCUCACUGCAACCUCCACCUCCCAGGUUCAAGCGAUUCUCCUGCCUCAGCCUCCCAAGUAGCUGGAACUACAGGCACGCACCACAACACCCAGCUAAUUUUUGUAUUUUCAGUAGAGACAGGGUUUCACCAUGUUGGCCAGGAUGGUCUUGAUCUCUUGACCUCGUGAUCUGCCCGCCUCGGCCUCCCAAAGUUCUGGGAUUACAGACGUGAGCCACCAUGCCCGGCAUAUAUGAAGUUUUAAAAAAUCAGAAUACAGAACAAAAUUUAUUGGGAGAUGAGCUUCUUUCUUUCUCUCUUCAACACCAUCGCCACAUCACCUCCACAUAUACACACACUGAAAAGAUACUGAAAAGACAUAAUAACCAUGGGAAAUGGAGAUUACUGGAUUGUUAAAUGUUCUUUUUGCCUGUCUUUAUUCUCUAACUUUGCUAUAAUGAACAGAAAUUAUUUUUUGAUAAGCAAAAAAUAUUUUAAAUUUAAACAUGUAAAGUAACUUAGUAGUUGUCUUUUCAAAAUAUGUAAGAAUCAUUAGUUCACUAGUUGGUUAAAUAUGUUUUUAAUCCCAACAUCUUGAUAAUUGUCGCAAAAUUGAGGGAACAUUUUUUGAACUCUAAAAUGCUAUAGAAUUGACAGAUCAUUUUUCAGUUCAUAAGUUAUUACUUAUAAUCAGUUUUUUUAUUGUUACUAUGGCAAUAUUUUAUACACAAGAAUGGCUGAGGUUAGGAAUUUGUGCCCUGAAAAUUGUAUCAACAUAUCAAAUAUGAAGUAAAUAACAAUUUCUUGCUUUAAAUAUAACAAAGAUGUGGGAAGAAGUGGUAGGCAAGAGUCUCUGUGUUACCAUGGGAACGAUUAAGUUUUCCAAGGUGCAAACCAGCCUCAUUCCAGCUUCAGGGUCAAUGACUUACUAGCUCAGAGGGAAAUGUAUAAAUAUUUAAGUACAUACCUACUAUCUGUACAGAGUGACUCUCAUUACCCAGAGAACUGCUGUAAAAUAUUAUUUAUUCACAGAUUACACAAAACCAAUCUAAAUUAGUACUUUUAUACAUUCUAUUUGGGGAGUACUUAAGGUGUAUGAGCAAACAAAUUGUUAUCCAGGUCACUCCAGAACUGUUGUAUACAGAUUAAGAAUUGAUGUUGGAUACUAAUUAAAAUCAUUAAAGCAAAAUCAAAAAACACUUUGGCUAGCAUUUCAAUUAUUUUUUAAACAGGAUUUCUUAAAACAAUCCCCAAAGUAGUCUUGUAAUUUGUUCAUUUUAAGGAUCUAUGUUACUCUGAGGCCAAUCAAGGGGGCUAACAGUCUAGUUGGGGAGCCAAGAUAGCCAUUCAUCAAUUCAUUCAUUCAUUCAGUAAAAUGUAUUGAGAACCUACUAUGUACCAAGCAAUGUGCUGGGCACUAAGCAUUGAAGAAUACCUGAAACAUGGCACCUGACCUCAAAAAGCUUAAAAUUAGGAGACAUAGACAUGUAAGUAAAUAACUGCUAUAGGCAAAUCUCAGCAACUGCCACACCUGCUUGCUCCUUUAGCAGAACUUCUCUGAUUGGCCAUAUUCUGCACAUAGUGACCAACUCACCUCUUUUCCCUAUCUGCUUUCCUUGCUAUAGCUGAGAAAAAAGCUGUGGCCCAAAAGUUUCUCCCCUGAGAGGGACAGGAUCAGAUUGUCUUUUCAAGAGUUCCCAUGUGCAAUACAGAGCUGAAGUUGAAGCUGAAAGGAUUCAUAGAGAAAGGCCAGUAUAAAUCUUCAGCAUACCAAAGUUAUGAGAAAGGAGAAAGCUUGCAAUGCAUGUAUAGAGGAGGUGCUGAGGAGUUGGUGGUAGCAGCAGACAAGGGAGGAGAAAUGGAUAGAAUCAUGGUUAUUGUCAAGGUGGAGGAUCCGUGAACUGCAACUGAAGAGGGCUAGUGACAUGACCCAGUUCUUAGGGCUGUCUCUAUUCCUGAAUAUUUACUUAAUAUAAGGCAAUUCUUAUAUAGCAUUAGGGUAAAAAAAAAAAAAAAAGGAUUCGAAGUUUCCGAGAGACUUCUGUUUCAGCCAUAACAGAAUAGUGAAUUUACCUUCCCCCAGUAAAUAGCCAUAAAAUUAAAUAAAGUAAAUAAAACCAACUGUUUUCAGACAUUGGACAAUAGAAAGCACAGAACUCUAUGAUCCUUGAGAGAAGGGGAACAAAGAAGGUGUUAAUCACAAAGCAAUUUAAUUUACAUAAGCAAGGAAUAUAUUAAACAUCUAUUUAGAAAUCAUUUGCAUGAAUGUUCAAUAUUCACUUUAUUUCCAGAGUCAUCCAUAUGUAAUCUGGAUUACUUAGAGGCUGUCACGUUAGCCAACAUUAAUGUAUAAUGAAAGCGCAUCAGUUUAAUAUAAGCAUCCACAAGUGACCAUAUGGGAGAAGCAGUUAACAUUGAGCUUGCUGCAAUACUAAGGGAGUUACUUUUAUAAAAAUUAGGCUAUAAAAAAAAAUUAGGCUGUAGUCUCCAUAAUGUAUUAUACAACUAAUUUAACUCUGGAAAUCUACCUAUAAUCCUACAAAAUAUUUGCAGAUAAUCAACUGCAAGUUCAGACUUGGAAAUAAACAAAAGAACUACCCACUGUUUGCUUAAAUCCGCUUAGGUCAGCAAUAUACCUGAAAUUCAGUAGCUUGCUGUCAGUUAAGAUGCCGUGCAUUAACACUGAAGGAACUGUUGUGGAGAGGAAGCAGGGAAUGAUUAGCACUGAAACCACUGCACUUUUAUAAGGAAGGAAAAUUUUCUUUAUGCGGGUAUGAAUAAUACUAACAAAUGAAAUACUGGAACAUGUAGGUGGAGGAUACAUCAUUUUGGCUGUUACGGAUGAUGUCAAGUCAUACCUAACCUGCUCAUUGUAUAAAACUUAAUUAGUACUCCAAAGUGCCUUACUGUAACUAAUAAAAGAUGUAUUGACCCCCCUGUGCUAUUAAGAUAAGACUGAGAUUCUGUAGCAAAGAGACAUCUCAUGUCAGAGGUAAGAGGUCAGAGGUCAGUGCUUCGGGCUCCAGCAGGGUUCUGUUCCAUGCAGUCAUUCAGGGUCCUAAAGUACUUCAGUCUUUGUUUUGCCAUUCCCUAAGGUGUUGUCCUCAUUUACAUGGUCUCAAUUGGGUUUGAGUUCCAGUCUGUGGGAAGGGAGAAAGAGAGGCCCUGAAGGGCUGGCAAUUUCCUUUUAAAAAGAAACAUCACAGCUGGGCAUGGUGGCUCAUGUCUGUAAUACCAGCACUUUGGGAGACUGAGGCUGGAGGAUCUCUUGAGGCCAGGAGUUUGACACCAGCCUGGGCAACAUAGCAAGUCCCUGUCCCUAUGAAAAAUGCAAAAAUUAGCUGGGGUGUGAUGGCAUGUGCCUAUAGUCCCAGCUACUCAAGAGGCUGGCUGGGUGUGGUGGCUCAUGUCUCUAAUCCCACCACUUUGGGAGGCCGAGAUGGGCGGAUCAUGUGAGGUCAGGAGUUCAAGACCAGCCUGGCCAAAAUGGUGAAACCACAUCUCUACAAAAAUACAAAAGAAAAUAGCCAGGCGUGGUGAUGGGCCCUUGUAGUCCCAGCUACUCAGGAGGCUGAGGCAGGAGGAUUGCUAGAACCUGGGAGGCGGAGGUUGCAGUGAGCUGAGAUUGCGCCACUGCACUCCAGCCUGGGCGACAGAGUGAGACUCGGCUCAAAAAAAAAAAAAAAGUGUGCUUGAAGAUUUAGUUACAAGGUUGUUCACUGCAGAAUUCUGUUAAUAGCAGAAAAAUUGAAAACUGUCUAAAUAUUUAUCUCAUUGCUUCCUGUGGAAGAGAGCCUUAAAUGUGUCCAUGGAUACCAAGUGACAAUAUCAUUACAGUUACUGCUCCAAGAACCAUAAUCUCAUUUUGACAUAAAUUAUUUCAUUUAAUCAAUCCUGCAAGGCAGAUGUGAAUAUGUAAAUAAGCAGAGGCUCAGUGACCUUAAGAAACUAGUUUAAGGUCAAACAGCAAAUAAGUAAUAUGGUUAGCUUUCAACUCAGUUGUGUCCAGUUCUUCCCACUCUGCUUCGUGCAUCUUUUCUCAUUUGUUUUGCCUAGCAGGACUGAUGAGUGGAACACCUUGCUAAGGAGAAAGCAAUGUGCACAUCACAGGGCAACUCUUGAUAAACAACUGCCUCACCAGAGAUUGGUGGGGACAAUGCCUAGCCUUCAGGAUUCAUCAGGGUGUUUGUUUAUCAAGAGUAGAAACCAACUUUGAACUGUUUUAGGUAGAAAAGGGGAAACAUAAGAAAAUAGAAGCAUCUCACGAAGCUAAGGCAGGAAUGCAAGCAACCAGGUGUCAAAAGAGCUGACACUGAAAUGGAAAUAUCAGCAGGAACUCAGAGAGAGAGAGCUUACUUUGUUUCUCAGUUCAUUUUUUUUCUGCAGCAUCUGGCUUU
rnacentral:lncRNA from 1 species